UCCGGAAUGGUGUAGUGGCUAGCAUUUCUGCCUCUCAAUGAUCCAAGUGAUCGGCGUGAACGCAGGAGACCGGGGUUCAAUUCCCCGUUCCGGAA
rfam:Marssonina brunnea f. sp. &apos;multigermtubi&apos; MB_m1 unplaced genomic scaffold M6_S00003, whole genome shotgun sequence.